UGUUCAGUCCAAUCCCCACUCUAUAAUUCUAAAAAUAGAAAAAAAAAAAGGAAUACGAAAGAGAGAUAGGAGCCUUU
rnacentral:tRNA from 1 species